GAUGAAGAACGCAGCGAAAUGCGAUAGGUAAUGUGAAUUGCAGAAUUCAGUGAAUCAUCGAAUCUUUGAACGCACAUUGCGCCCCCUGGCAUUCCGGGGGGCAUGCCUGUCCGAGCGUCAUUUCUGCCCUCCAGCCCGGCUGGGUGUUGGGCGCUGUCCCCCCGGGGACACGCCCCAAAGGCAGUGGCGGCGCCGCGUCGGGUCCUCGAGCGUAUGGGGCUUUGUCACCCGCUCGGGACGGACUCGUCGGCGCUGGUCUUCCUCCAGGCGACCCUUCGGGGCUCGUCUUCCUUCGGUUGACCUCGGAUCAGGUAGGGUUACCCGCUGAACUUAAGCAUAUCAAUAAGCGGAGGA
rnacentral:misc_RNA from 1 species